rnacentral:rRNA from 1 species
CAGGUGAAGUCAAUGAUCCCAUGCUGCCAAGAAAAGCCUCUAGCGAGCUUCGAGCGGCCCGUACCCCAAACCGACACAGGUGGUCAGGUAGAGAAUACCGAGGCGAUCGGGCGAACUGUGGUUAAGGAACUCGGCAAAUUACCCCCGUAACUUCGGGAGAAGGGGGGCCACAGACUGUCAUACCCCACGCGGGUGGCAGCAGUAGGUGGCCGCAGAGACCAGGGGGAAGCGACUGUUUACUAAAAACACAGGUCCGUGCGAAGUCGUAAGACGAUGUAUACGGACUGACGCCUGCCCGGUGCUGGAACGUUAAGGGGACCGGUUAGUCCGCAAGGGCGAAGCUGAGAACUUAAGCGCCAGUAAACGGCGGUGGUAACUAUAACCAUCCUAAGGUAGCGAAAUUCCUUGUCGGGUAAGUUCCGACCUGCACGAAUGGCGUAACGACUUCCCUACUGUCUCAACCACAGACCCGGCGAAAUUGCACUACGAGUAAAGAUGCUCGUUACGCGCGGAAGGACGGAAAGACCCCGGGACCUUCGCUAUAGCUUGACAUUGGUAUCCGAAUUUAAUUGUGUAGGAUAGGUGGGAGGCUUUGAUCCGCGGACGCCAGUCCGUCGGGGAGCCAACGUUGAAAUACCACUCUGUUGACUUUGGGUAUCUAACUUCGGACCGUGAUCCGGUUCAGGGACAGUGUCUGGUGGGUAGUUUAACUGGGGCGGUUGCCUCCUAAAAUGUAACGGAGGCGCCCAAAGGUUCCCUCAGCCUGGUUGGCAAUCAGGUGUUGAGUGCAAGUGCACAAGGGAGCUUGACUGUGAGACUGACAGGUCGAGCAGGGACGAAAGUCGGGACUAGUGAUCCGGCACCUGCGAGUGGAAGCGGUGUCGCUCAACGGAUAAAAGGUACCCCGGGGAUAACAGGCUGAUCUUCCCCAAGAGUCCAUAUCGACGGGAUGGUUUGGCACCUCGAUGUCGGCUCGUCGCAUCCUGGGGCUGGAGUAGGUCCCAAGGGUUGGGCUGUUCGCCCAUUAAAGCGGCACGCGAGCUGGGUUUAGAACGUCGUGAGACAGUUCGGUCCCUAUCCUCCGCGCGCGUAGGAGACUUGAGAAGAGCUGUCCCUAGUACGAGAGGACCGGGACGGACGAACCUCUGGUGUGCCAGUUGUCAUGCCAAUGGCACGGCUGGUUAGCUACGUUCGGAAGGGAUAACCGCUGAAAGCAUCUAAGCGGGAAGCUCGCUUCAAGAUGAGGUCUCCCACCCCUUAGAGGGUUAAGGCCCCCAGCUAGACCACUGGGUUGAUAGGCCAGAAGUGUAAGCCUGGUAACAGGUUCAGCCGACUGGUACUAAUAGGCCGAGGACUCCG